AUUGAACGCUGGCGGCAGGCCUAACACAUGCAAGUCGAGCGGAUGACGGGAGCUUGCUCCUGGAUUCAGCGGCGGACGGGUGAGUAAUGCCUAGGAAUCUGCCUGGUCGUGGGGGAUAACGUCCGGAAACGGGCGCUAAUACCGCAUACGCCCUGAGGGAGAAAGUGGGGGAUCUUCGGACCUCACGCUAUCAGAUGAGCCUAGGUCGGAUUAGCUAGUUGGUGGGGUAAAGGCCUACCAAGGCGACGAUCCGUAACUGGUCUGAGAGGAUGAUCAGUCACACUGGAACUGAGACACGGUCCAGACUCCUACGGGAGGCAGCAGUGGGGAAUAUUGGACAAUGGGCGAAAGCCUGAUCCAGCCAUGCCGCGUGUGUGAAGAAGGUCUUCGGAUUGUAAAGCACUUUAAGUUGGGAGGAAGGGCAGUAAGUUAAUACCUUGCUGUUUUGACGUUACCAACAGAAUAAGCACCGGCUAACUUCGUG
rnacentral:rRNA from 1 species